AGAGUCAAAUGGAGUCCAGCGUCAGUGAGAUUAUAUGUUAUGUGGUAUAUAAUGUUGGAUGUCAACUCCCCAAAACCAUAAAACUUACUUUAAUGGCCCCACGUGACGUUUUAUAGCCAGUGAGCCGAUCUGUCUGUGCUAUGGAUGAUUUUACGAUCUAAUUCAUAGACAAAACCCUAUUCAUUUGGCACCCAAAUGUCAUAUAGCCGGAACUGGGGCUUAUAAAGUUUACUGUUUUAUAACUUUUAAAAGGAAAGACGGCAUCAGUGUAAGCAGUCGGUAAAUGUGCAAAUCUCUAGUUGCGCUUUAGCUGCUCUGAGGAGUUUCUCAAUCGAGCUAGGAUGGGAAUUCCACUCGCGCGCCUCUUCCCUGUCCCCGCGCUCCUGACAUCGCUCUCGUCCGAAAGCCGCGUGGAAGGAAGCGGGCGAUCCGCAGAGGUCUCUGGCUGAAUUAAUGGCGGCUCCCAGAAGCUCCUGCCCCUCUGACAGCUGUCGCUUGGGCAGCCCGGGGAGACGAAUUGUCCUCCUUCCUGGUGCCAGAGGACGCAGGAAAUUAGCCAGGUUGCGAGUUGCAAAGCGGCCGCCGCGGCGCCGGGGACUGGGCGCGCCCCACCUCCAGCUGGAGCAGCCAGGCCCGGCCGGCCCGGGGCCUCGUCUCGCUCUCCAUCGCCGGACAAAGCGCAGCGGAGCCGGGCUGCGAGGCAGAGCUCCGAAGCAGGCAGGACGGAGCGGAGCAAAAGAAUGCGGCUCUAUUCUCGCAAGGGAAAUUAUAAAAAAGUUCAUGUUCACGGUUCCCAUCCACAUGACCGACAGCGGCCAAUGGAAGGGCCGAACAACUCAUAAAGUUGUAUUGCAAAGUUGUAAAUUUUCAUAAACAACAACGGAUUUA